UGUUAGCAAGUCGAGUGCUAGCAUCAUUUUUUAAAUGGAGGGUUACGUUUUUAAACCCCCAAACCCAAGAAUUUGUUUAGCCACGUCAUUGGUAGUGAUCUUUAUUGAGAGAAAAAUACUUUUAAAACAGAAGAAAGAAGAAAGAAAACUUCUACAAACUAGUCAUUGAUGUGUUUCUUCAGAAGGAGCUGCGCACAUACGUCAUUUAUCAGUAAAACCGUCCACCAGGGUGGAACUUGCAGUUGAAACGAAGCUUUGAACCGUUCUGUGGAGCGAUCUGUGAUUCCUACGAGUUUACAUCUUCAGAAUCGAGAAGAGGCCUUCAUCCCAGAAGACAUCGUGAUCUGGACACCCGGGAGGUGACUACAUGAGGAGAAAAAAAGUCCAAUAAAUGUUCUUUAAAUCUACUUGCAAAAGAAAAACUGGAAAACUAUUGGUUAUUUUACUGCCAGGAGUUCGCACAGCUGAAUUUAAAGCCGACCAGUGUCACUUCGAGCAGAUAAGCAUGAGACGUUCUCAUAUGGAGAUUGGAAUCUUGGUCACAUUAUUGUCAUUUUAUUUUUUUGGUUUGUGUUUCUUUUCAGUGCCGACACAAUUCAAGAAACCGAAUGCAUGGAUGAUUGGAUUUUGAUGGUGUCAUGUGGAACGUCUUAGAAGCUUCUUCGGUACAAAAAAAAAUCAAACCAAUUUUGUUUCAAGUGUUUUUUGUGUAGCUUGAAGGCUUUUGUCUGUAUAGCCAUAUAAUCGGCACAGGAUAAGGUACAUAAAAAAAAUAAAGCGUUAAACUCUUACUUUCAUCAUGUGUAAUGGUUAUGUCUGCCCUGAUGGGGAUGCAAAACACCUCCAUAAACGGAUCGAGUGUGUCACUGGAGCCCAGCUCUUCUGAUUUAAAAAUCCCCGAGCAGCGUGUGAGGAGGCAUUUCUCUCUCAUUUACCAAAAUGCUGUUUAGAGAAAUUUCUCUCAAGAGCGGCUCUCUGAUGAAGCAAUUUUUUGUUUUUUUGCUUUUGUUAUAUGCAAUUAGCUUUAAUUUGCUAUGAUCUGUGCAGCAGUCGUGUCCUCCAGUCAUUAUGUUCUGACCUCGUUUGUAAAAAAAAAAAAAAAAAAAAAAGCUGCGGCCACCGAACACAUGAAAACUCCAACAGUCUUUGUUACCAAACGGAGCGACUGAAUCCUUCCUGUCACUGUCAGGAUAAUUGGCACUCAAUAAACACAAGAUAAUUGGACUGCUUUGAUCCCAGCAAUUUCUCACUUUUGGCCAAAAAGGCGCAGCUAUUGUGUGUCAUGUUUACCAGGAGUCUUUAUGCGGCGGCAGUGAGAUGAACGAGUGAAGAGGGGGAGAUGCAUUCUUCUGAAGUGUUAAGAGCUCCCUGCAGGCACCGGUUCCUUCACGCAGCAUCUUUUGCCAUUGUUCCUCCGCCGCUCACGGCCUUGACUCAUUACAAACCUCCUCUCCCGCGCGGGCAUUCCUUAAUUAUGCUUUGGAAGUCUUUUUAAAAACGUGUCCCUUUUUGUUUGUGUGUUUUCUGUUUUUUAGUCAUACCGAUUUGUCCGGGGGAAAGACUGCCGGGGCUUGAAAAAGUUCACACCGGUGGAGGGUGUCUAGCAAACGAACACUUCUCGUUUCUGGGAGAAACGUGCGGGGAUAAAUGACGCGGGGCCAGAUGUCUUCAAAGAGAUGAUGAGCUUCAUCUACACAAGCGCGGCCCCCAACCUGGACAAGAUGGCCGAUGACCUGCUGGCUGCAGCUGACGGGGUGCAGCGUGCGCGUGGAUUUGCACCUGUCACCACGUGUGUCUACACACUCUAAUGGGCGUGAUUAGACACAAAAACACACCUGGGACGCGUCGCACAACAGAUGCAAAAAUAAACACAAAGGUGAACUUGUUGAUGUGAUGUACACAUACUAACUUGUUUGUUCAUUCAACACUAUCUGAGAGGUUAAAGGUC